UUUGUACCUUGUCAGCUCGGGGGUUUGAACUUGCAACCUUCCGGUUACUAGUCCAGCGUUCUAACCACGACCCUGCCGACUAUGAACAGGGCACCUGGUUUACGCCCGGGAGGGGUUCCAAAACGAAUGCCAGAUUAAUCGAGUCCCCUCUAUGAAGGGAAGCGAAGUAGGAGACAGGAAAUUCGAGACAUAUACAGGAUGCUACCCUCGACAGCAUAACCUUCACUCCAGAUCAAAAAUCCAAACCUACAACCUAAUUUUGGACUAAAGGACCUGGAAGGAUUAAUGCUACUAUCCAACCUGGAACUGAGACAGACCAGAUUAAACUUCAAUUAGCACUGAUGUGUGAGGUGUCAAAGCCUUUGAGCCCAACAAAUGGCAGGCUACCCCACCCAAAUCCAGAGGCCUUGAAGCCCCCUCCUGCUGUUCAGAGACCAUCUACUGGCAUUUUCUACAAUAGAUCUGCCUCCAGAAAAAAGCUUCUUCCAAGUGGGUGUGACACCUACUUCCAUUGCCUGCUGCACUGCUGCUUGGAUUCCACCUGGCGAUCUGUUUACCGUCUGUCCUGGUUGUCU
ensembl:lncRNA